UGGGGAAUUUUGGACAAUGGGCGAAAGCCUGAUCCAGCAAUGCCGCGUGUGUGAAGAAGGCCUUCGGGUUGUAAAGCACUUUUGUCCGGAAAGAAAUCCUUGGCUCUAAUACAGUCGGGGGAUGACGGUACCGGAAGAAUAAGCACCGGCUAACUACGUGCCAGCAGCCGCGGUAAUACGUAGGGUGCAAGCGUUAAUCGGAAUUACUGGGCGUAAAGCGUGCGCAGGCGGUUUGCUAAGACCGAUGUGAAAUCCCCGGGCUCAACCUGGGAACUGCAUUGGUGACUGGCAGGCUAGAGUAUGGCAGAGGGGGGUAGAAUUCCACGUGUAGCAGUGAAAUGCGUAGAGAUGUGGAGGAAUACCGAUGGCGAAGGCAGCCCCCUGGGCCAAUACUGACGCUCAUGCACGAAAGCGUGGGGAGCAAACAGGAUUAGAUACCCUGGUAGUCCACGCCCUAAACGAUGUCAACUAGUUGUGGGGAUUCAUUCCUUAGUAACGUAGCUAACGCGUGAAGUUGACCGCCUGGGGGAGUACGGUCGCAAGAUUAAAACUCAAAGGAAUUGACGGGGUCAUAGCUGUUUCCU
rnacentral:rRNA from 1 species